UGGCCCGUCGUCUAACGGCAGGACAUCAGCCUUUGGAGCUGAUUAUUCAGGUUCGAAUCCUGGCGGGCCAGCCA
rnacentral:tRNA from 2 species